GGCUCAGUUGGUAGAGCAUGGUGUUUGCAACGCCAGCAUGGUGUUUGCAACGCCAGGGUUGUGGGUUCGAUUCCCAC
rnacentral:tRNA from 1 species